GACGAACGCUGGCGGCGUGCCUAAUACAUGCAAGUCGAACGAGUGGCGGACGGGUGAGUAAUAUAUGGGAACGUGCCCAGUAGCGGGGGAUAACUACUCGAAAGAGUGGCUAAUACCGCAUACUAUUGGAGCGGCCGAUAUGGGAUUAGCUAGUUGGUGGGGUAAAGGCUCACCAAGGCGACGAUCCGUAGCUGGUCUGAGAGGAUGACCAGCCACACUGGAACUGAGACACGGCCCAGACUCCUACGGGAGGCAGCAGUGGGGAAUAUUGGAGAAUGGGCGAAACCCUGAUGCAGCCAUCCCGCGUGUAUGAGAAGGCCUUCGGGUUGUAAAGUACUUUCGGCAGAGAAGCGGUAUCCGCAGAAUAAGCACCGGCUAACUACGUGCCAGCAGCCGCGGUAAUUC
rnacentral:rRNA from 1 species